UCUUGGUCAUUUAGAGGAAGUAAAAGUCAUAACAAGGUUUCCGUAGGUGAACCUGCGGAAGGAUCAUUAAUGAUGCCCUUUUGGGUUUGGCCAGUCCUUGGACUGGUCUCAUCAACACACCGUGAACCGUGGCUUCGGCCAUUACACAAACUGUUAGUAAUGAAUGUAACAUCAUAACAAACAUAAAACUUUUAACAACGGAUCUCUUGGCUCUCGCAUCGAUGAAGAACGCAGCGAAAUGCGAUAAGUAAUGUGAAUUGCAGAAUUCAGUGAAUCAUCGAAUCUUUGAACGCACCUUGCGCCCUUUGGUAUUCCGAAGGGCAUGCCUGUUUGAGUGUCAUGAAACCUCACCCCACCUGGGUUUUUCUAGGUGGUCGGUGGAUUGGGCGUCUGCCGUUAUUGGCUCGCCUGAAAUGCAUAAGCGCUCUGGAUGUAAUACGUUUCAUCCUCUUGAGUGGCUGAUAACCCCACAUCUCAUGAUCUGGCCUCAAAUCAGGUAGGGCUACCCGCUGAACUUAAGCAUAUCAAUAAGCGGAGGA
rnacentral:rRNA from 1 species